UAGAGUUUGAUCCUGGCUCAGGACGAACGCUGGCGGCGUGCUUAACACAUGCAAGUCGAACGGUAAGGCCCUUCGGGGUACACGAGUGGCGAACGGGUGAGUAACACGUGGGUAAUCUGCCCUGCACAUCGGGAUAAGCCUGGGAAACUGGGUCUAAUACCGAAUAGGACCACAGAACACAUGUCCUGUGGUGGAAAGCUUUUGCGGUGUGGGAUGGGCCCGCGGCCUAUCAGCUUGUUGGUGGGGUGAUGGCCCACCAAGGCGACGACGGGUAGCCGGCCUGAGAGGGUGUCCGGCCACACUGGGACUGAGAUACGGCCCAGACUCCUACGGGAGGCAGCAGUGGGGAAUAUUGCACAAUGGGCGAAAGCCUGAUGCAGNGACGCCGCGUGGGGGAUGACGGCCUUCGGGUUGUAAACCUCUUUCACCAUCGACGAAGGUUCGGGUUUUCUCGGAUUGACGGUAGGUGGAGAAGAAGCACCGGCCAACUACGUGCCAGCAGCCGCGGUAAUACGUAGGGUGCGAGCGUUGUCCGGAAUUACUGGGCGUAAAGAGCUCGUAGGUGGUUUGUCGCGUUGUUCGUGAAAUCUCACGGCUUAACUGUGAGCGUGCGGGCGAUACGGGCAGACUUGAGUACUGCAGGGGAGACUGGAAUUCCUGGUGUAGCGGUGGAAUGCGCAGAUAUCAGGAGGAACACCGGUGGCGAAGGCGGGUCUCUGGGCAGUAACUGACGCUGAGGAGCGAAAGCGUGGGGAGCGAACAGGAUUAGAUACCCUGGUAGUCCACGCCGUAAACGGUGGGUACUAGGUGUGGGUUUCCUUCCUUGGGAUCCGUGCCGUAGCUAACGCAUUAAGUACCCCGCCUGGGGAGUACGGCCGCAAGGCUAAAACUCAAAGAAAUUGACGGGGGCCCGCACAAGCGGCGGAGCAUGUGGAUUAAUUNGAUGCAACGCGAAGAACCUUACCUGGGUUUGACAUGCACAGGACGCCGGCAGAGAUGUCGGUUCCCUUGUGGCCUGUGUGCAGGUGGUGCAUGGCUGUCGUCAGCUCGUGUCGUGAGAUGUUGGGUUAAGUCCCGCAACGAGCGCAACCCUUGUNUCAUGUUGCCAGCGGGUAAUGCCGGGGACUCGUGAGAGACUGCCGGGGUCAACUNGGAGGAAGGUGGGGAUGACGUCAAGUCAUCAUGCCCCUUAUGUCCAGGGCUUCACACAUGCUACAAUGGCCGGUACAAAYGGCUGCGAUGCCGCGAGGUUAAGCGAAUCCUUUUAAAGCCGGUCUCAGUURGGAUCGGGGUCUGCAACUCGACCCCGUGAAGUNGGAGUCGCUAGUAAUCGCAGAUCAGCAACGCUGCGGUGAAUACGUUCCCGGGCCUUGUACKCKCCGCCCGUCKCGUCAUGAAAGUCGGUAACACCCGAAGCCAGUGGCCUAACCCUUUGGGAGGGAGCUGUCGAAGGUGGGAUCGGCGAUUGGGACGAAGUCGUAACAAGGUAGCCGUA
rnacentral:rRNA from 1 species